AGCUUUGCGCAGUGGCAGUAUUGUAGCCAAUGAGGUUUAUCCGAGGCGCGAUUAUUGCUAAUUGAAAAAAGCACUUUUCCAUCAAUUCUGUCACGUUUAAGAUGAAUUUUCCAAAGGGAGUAAGACGGUCUCC
rnacentral:snRNA from 1 species